GAAGCUGGGGUCAGAGAGGAGGUGCAGGACCAGGAUUUCCAGUCCUCAAACCCUGACAAUAUUAUACUUUGUUUCAGGCGCUGUUUCAGUCACUGGACCUGAGUAUCUAUGUGGACAGGAAAGGGGCGGUGGUCGUGAGCGGCUCCUUUCGCGCUUUUGUCUUGCGCGUCCCCGGGCACGUUUUCUGGACCCCCUGCAGGAUGCCAGGGACCAGCACUGAGCUAGCCCGCCCCGCCCCUGCCCCCCGGGAAGCCCGCGCCAAGUCACAACCCGGGAGGGGAGGGCAGUCCCGCCGCUGCCGCUCUGAAGGGUCUGCGCCAUCUGUGCGAGUGCGCAGUAGGGGGCGGGGGGCGGCGGGGUGGCGCUGUGGGGUCUCCGCGGGGAGGGCUGGGGCGCCCAGCCAAGAUGCGCGGGUGCGUUCUUGGCAAUAGGGCGCAGGAGCUGCUGACUAGGAGCCCCUGAGACCAGAUGGUGUGCGCGCUGUGGAGCCCCUUGAGGAACCCGCGUCUCCCCUGAGGGCGGCCAGAGUCCUCAGACCCUUCUCAGCCUCGGGGCGACUCCUGGUCCGAGGAUUUCUCGGGCCACUGAGAGGACAGAAAACUGGAGGGGACCGAGGAGGACUGGGCUGUCCGGGUUAGGGGAUGGCUGGGACUCCUUCCAGGUCAGGUGGAAGAGGAACAGGGUUCCGGUCCCGAGAUUUUAGGAGAUUCCCUGGACAUCUCCGGAGCCAGCGCUGCUCGGGCGCCAAGGACAAGCACUGAGCAAGCCCGCCCGCUCCUGCCAAGGGGCGCAGAUAGACCCGGGUCUGGAGGGAGCACCUGUAGUGUCACGAUGCUACCUCUCAGCACCAUCGAGGACCAGGAAAUGGAGGAGGUGCAGACCAAGCCACCGGAGAAAGGAGCCCGGCCUUCUGAGAACCCUGGUGGGGCACCAAAGAAGCCCCCCAGAAAGAAUGCAAGAGUGUCAGCCAGACGGGUGCCGAUCUGUCCCAUGCCAAGUGUUUGCUUCACCUUUUACAUGGAAUCGAAUGACUCUGACUUUGAAUCACAAUCUUCUUCUGAAACUUCGAAACCUGGUUCAAAGCGCACCUCCCCUUCGAAGCCUCGUGCAAAGUACAAGGAGAUCAAGGCGUGGGAAUGUCCCCUGUGCUGCCUCAGCAUUCUCUACCUUUCCUAAUACCUGAGGCUCCUCUGCUUCCCACCCUAGACCCCGUGCUCCCAAAACACACUUCCUGGGCUACUCUGGUGUAAAACUCCAAAAUACAGCUGCUUAAAUAUGCCACAGUUGAUUUCUCUCUGAUGGUGAUUGUGUGUAAACUUCCGGGGGGAAGUGUUACAAACUGGUGGAUUUGGGCAGCCAGGGUCCUUCAACUUUGUUGCUCUGUGCCACCUGGCUGGAGAGGGCUCACCCCCCACACCCAGUCCACAUUCUGGGUCAGGGGACGGGAGAGGGGAAGAGGGAAGGGGAAGACACACUUUAGUCCUUCAAAGGGCAACUCCUUCAAGAUGCCCAGAUCACUUUUCCUCAAACCUCAUUGGCCAGAGCAUAGUCACAUGACCACAUCUAGCUGCAAGAGAUGCUGGGAAGUGCAGUCCUUAGCUGGGCAAUCCUGUGUCACCUACUAGCUUCUAUUA